rnacentral:lncRNA from 1 species
ACCUAAGCUAUUGGUUGUAACAAACUUAUGUUUACUUACUCAACAAGUAACAACUUAGAGAUAUGAAUUACACAAUGAAUUUCACAAAAUUCAACACUCCCCCUUAAUUCAUACUCUCUAAGGAUCUUAUGCACAUCAAGCCUUUCAACUUUAAGAAGGUUUCCACUGUCACAGCCUUGGUUAACACAUCUGCAAUCUGCAGCUCUGUCCUGCAGUGUUCUAGCUUGAGCCUUCCAUUGCUUACCUGCUCUCUCAGAUAAUGG